rfam:Bacteroides stercoris strain CL09T03C01 AA415_contig0084, whole genome shotgun sequence.
CAACUGACUGAAUCGGAAACGGUUCUUUCUUCGGACAGUUGUGAAGGUGCUGCAUGGUUGUCGUCAGCUCGUGCCGUGAGGUGUCGGCUUAAGUGCCAUAACGAGCGCAACCCUUACGGGUAGUUACCAUCAGGUUAUGCUGGGGACUCUACCCGGACUGCCGUCGUAAGAUGUGAGGAAGGUGGGGAUGACGUCAAAUCAGCACGGCCCUUACGUCCGGGGCUACACACGUGUUACAAUGGGGGGUACAGAAGGCAGCUACACGGCGACG